rfam:Gossypium raimondii Chr10_contig_608, whole genome shotgun sequence.
CACGUCAGCGCGUUUUGCUACGUGGCAGCAAAUCGUGUCCUAGAGGGAGCGAUUUGUUGCCACGUCAGCAUAGCGCACUGACGUGG